rnacentral:rRNA from 1 species
GAUGAACGCUAGCGGCAGGCCUAACACAUGCAAGUCGAGGGGUAGAAUUAGCUUGCUAAUUUGAGACCGGCGCACGGGUGCGUAACGCGUAUGCAAUCUGCCUUGUACUGGGGGAUAGCCCAGAGAAAUUUGGAUUAAUACCUCAUAGUAUUAUGAUGUGGCAUCACAUUAUAAUUAAAGUUCCAACGGUACAAGAUAAGCAUGCGUCCCAUUAGUUAGUUGGUAAGUUAACGGCUUACCAAGACGAUGAGGGGUAGGGGUCCUGAGAGGGAGAUCCCCCACACUGGGACUGAGACACGGACCAGACUCCUACGGGAGGCAGCAGUGAGGAAUAUUGGUCAAUGGGCGCAAGCCUGAACCAGCCAUGCCGCGUGCAGGAUGACGGUCCUAUGGAUUGUAAACUGCUUUUAUACGGGAAGAAACACUCCUACGUGUAGGAACUUGACGGUACCGUAAGAAUAAGGAUCGGCUAACUCCGUGCCAGCAGCCGCGGUAACAC